GGGUCAGUUCUGCUGUGUCACAGGGGGCUGCUGAGUCGGAAUCGACUUGACGGCACACAACAACAGAUACAUCUGCCUCAAACUCAACAUGUGUAAACUGAACUCAUUCUCCUGCACUCUCCCAUCCCCUUAGACCCUCCCAUUUGUUCCUAGUCUUGAGGUCACUCAGUUACUAGUGAUAAAAACCUGAGUCAUACUGGGUUCUUUUCCCUGCCCCCCUCCCAAGUGAUUCCCUCAGUCCUGAUGUUGAUUCUCUCUGCUUUGAAUACCUCUCAGUCCAUUCCUUUGUUUCUCUUCUUAUUGUUAAUAUCUGAGCUCAGUUGCCAGGAUAAUAUCCUCCAAACUGGUCUGUCUCCAGUGUCAUCUUCUGAUCCAUCUUACAUGUUACCUGGGUGAUUGUCCUAACGUACACAGAGCAUGUAAAUGACUGCUUAAACUCCUUUACUGGCUCCUUAACUAACAGGAUGAGUUACAUGCUCAUGAGUGUGAUGCACAAGGUCCCUCAGUGGGCUAACCUCAACUUUUAUCCACAGUUUUUUUAUUUGCCACUAUUUUCCACAUAUGCAAACACUACCUUUCCACACUGAAUUGACUGCUGUUAGCCAAAUCAUAGUGACAUUGUCAUCCUUCUUUGUUGGGUUUCUUCUGGAAUGCUUCCCCUGCUGCACUCUUCAAGACUCAAAUAUUUUCUCCAUGAUCUAUUGUCCUAUAAGCCAGGCUCCCCUGUAAAGAAGUAGCAGUGCUUUCUCCUAAUCCCAUAGCAGUUUAUACUUGGUUGAAUUGUAGUUCUCAAGUCAUUGUUAUUGUUGAUUUAAAUUCUCUUCACUAUUGCAAGUGUCUUGAAGGUACAGUUUUUUGUUGAGUCUUAAGCUGCGUAAUGUCUGUUCAGGCAAUGUGUGAGCCACAUAUGUGUCUGUGGUCCCAUAAGGUUAUAAUACAGUUCAGAAAUCCUGAUUGGAGAAUGGAACACAGCAGACAUAACCAGGCACAGCGAACGCAACAGCUUUCUGUGCAUAACAUGUAUCUUAUGUCUCUUGUAUACAAAGCAAUUGCAUUGUCAGGCACAUAAUGGUACAGUACAUGUAUAACCUAUAAUACAUAUGUCUUGGUAGUCAUAAUAAAUGCCUGUGUUACUGGUUUACGUAUGUACUGUACUUGCUAUCAUUAUUUUAACAUGAACUUUUCCUACUUACAAAUAAAAUGUUUACUGUAUAACAGUAUAUACUUUGACUCGUAGGCAGCAGCAUACAAUCUCGUGUAUCACAUCUCUUGAGUCUCUUGAGUUGUAGCAUUAUCUCUGUGUUUAAUUUUCUUUUGAAAAUACUACUGUGAAGUGCAUCAUGGCUCCCAAACACAGCAAAACCAGUGCUAGUGAUAGCAGCAGCAAGAGGCAAAGGAGAAUUAUCAAUUUGGAAGUGAAACAAAAGGCAUCCUAUAUAGCUUUGCUGAGUAUAUAAUACAGGGUUCACCCAACAUCCAAAUCAUGUAACGUCCCGUUUCACAGAAUGUAUUGUGGAUGUUCAGCGAUUCAUGACUGUAUGUUACUUGAUGCAUACACAUAAAAAAAACCCAUUACCGUUGAGUCGAUUGCGACUCACAGCGAUCCUGUAGGACAGUUGAACUGCCCCAUUGGGUUUCCAAGGAGCAGCUGGUGGAUUUGAACUGCUGACCUUUUGGUUAGUAGCCGAUUUCUUAACCACUGUGCUAGCCAUAGCCAACCCUAAAUAAAAUAGAAUCUGUAUGUAUACGUCUUUGUAAGGUUUGAUAUAUUGCUGGUUUCUUGAACAAUUUUGUGUGUCUGCUAGCCUCUAGAUUAGCACUGUCCGAUGAAACUUUCUGCAGUGAUGGAAAUGUUCUAUCUCUGCUAUCCAGUAUGCUGUCCAGUGAUGUUGAGCACUGGCCGUAUGGCUAAACAACUGAUUUUUAAAUUUUAUUUAAUUUAAAUUUAAAUAACCACUUGCCAGCAGUGUAGGUGUAGGUGAUAGCCACAAAAUUCUGUUGUGGAUGGCAGAAUACUUCAUAUGGACAUUGAUAAUUUUCUCUUUAUACUGAGCAAUGUGAAAAUAAAAGUUGAACUGUGCUGGUCCAUUUACUUUUUUUUCCCCCUAAUUGUUUUAUCGUACGUAUUUCUAUACUUCAGCUCCAGUUAGCUGAGAGCUAAAUCCAACAAACCAUUACUAAAGUUGAACCUGCCUUGGACAACAAUAUGUUGAGAAAGCAAGUGUUGACCAGUUUGGAUUUCAAAAAACACAUUAUGAAUUUUAGGAAGGUGUGAUUUCAUUGUAAUGGGCAGUGCAGAAUAAAUGAAAGGUGAGAAAGUUUAAUGAAGAAAAGGAUUAUACCUAAUGUUACCGAACCUUGUCCUAAAUUUCAGUCCUCCAAGUUUUCACUUCUGAGGAAAACAAGAGGCCCUAAGCAUCGUAUCUGAGUUACAGGAAACUAUCACUAAGUUGCUCCUUGAGGGCAGGACUGUGCAUGUUUAUGGCUGUAUCCCUGCUGACCAGUACAGGGAGGUCUGCGAGGGAGUCCACGAGGUCAAAACCAUUUUCAUAAUACUAAGACAACAACAAGAAGUUACUUGCCUUUUUCCCUCAUUCUCAAGUGUUUAGAGGCUACAUGAUGUGUGAUGACAUCAUCUGCUGAUGCUAAUGGGUGUGUGUUGUCCAUUUGAGUGGAACUGCCCCCAUAGGGUUUCCAAGGCUGUAAUCUUUAUGGGAGUAGAUCGCCAGGUCUUUCUCUCCUGGAGCCACUGGUGGGUUUGAACCACUGACCUUUCAGUUAGCAGCUGAGUGCUUAACCAUUGUGCAACCAGGGCUCCUUUUGAUGCUAACUGAUGGUGCUAUAUAUUCGUGGAUUUUUUAAGGUGGUAGGUAUAUGGUAUGAAUAUUUGUAUUUUUUAGAGAGUAACUCAGUUUUUACAUUAUACCUUCCAUAAUCUCUGUAAUGUCAUUACUAUACAAUUGUUCAUUUGAAAUCCCACAGUUUUCUAUGCCUGAGCAUAAACACAAGAAGUAAAGGAUGAAACUAAUAUAUCACAAAGUUCUGACUCAUGGGAAAGAAACUAAGAAAUGAAAAUAUAAAAGUUAUCUUUCUCCUGACUUUUUAGAUGCUAAUAAUUUAUCAUAUCUUAGUGAAAUACAGGAAUUUUGAAUAGUAUUUUGGUACCAGCUAUGUCGUGGCAUUACUUUGAAACCAAUCUGUUUUUUAAGAAGAUUUUAAAUGUAGAUGUGACUAGCUCCUUCAAAUCCAAAAAACCAUUACAGGUUUUCAAACUAGAAAUGAAAAAGCUACUGAAGUAUCUUAAAGAGUAAGUGUAUUCAUUGGCUGGAGAAAUAUACACAGUAGCUGAGAAACUUAAAAAAAAAAAGCCAUAUACAGUUGACGCUGCUAGAUGAAAAGAUCUCAGUAGUGACACUUUUUAAUGAUACAGGAAUUUGUCAUGUUAAAGAUUUGUAUGCAGACAUGAAGUCGUAUCUCAUCUGUUAAAAAACCCCUAUUGCCACUGAGUUGAUUCUGGCUUAUAGGGACCCUAUAGGACAGAGUAGAACUGACCCAUAGGGUUUCCAAGGAGCAGAUGGUAGAUUCAAACUGUUGACCUUUUGGUUAGCAGCUAAGCUCUUAACCACUGUGCCACGAAGGCUUAUCUUUAGAAGCUACUUUUUGCCUUAAAAAUGGAUGACUCUACAAACAUGCCUGAACUGGUUAUUUUGCUUGUAUUUAUCUGGUAUAAGCGUCUCCUACUCAUCAGAGAUACUCAGGACAAGCACAUCUUGUCCUGUAAUAGUCAAAAUGUUGAAUAACUUUUUUCAAUCUCAUGAUUUAUGCAGAACUAUAUUGAAAUUUACAUUAAUGGUUAAAAAACAGUGGUGGGUAAAACUGCUAGCAACUUAGCACAAAUCAAGGCAGUGCUUUUUAUCCCAAUAGUUAAGUAAUCUUAAACAUUUGUAGAUUCUUUUGUACUUUAGCUGCUUUACAGACCCUUGAAAAUAUUUCCUUUUUUCAGCCUUUUGGUGGAAGCAGUGGAGAUCUGAACCAUAUCUGAUCUUUAGAUUACUUAAUAGUUCUUUUGGGGGUCUAUAGUUUUGGCACAUCUUGCUAAAAGGCUUAUUUCAUGUCAUGUUUAAACAAAAUUUUCCUUUUUGACCAUUCUAGUACUUUGUCAGUCUCUGGAGGUAACUGUCUUCCUGUCAUUAAACUUAUAAAAUAUU